AUGACACAUAUCGGGCGCGACGCCCCAAGGGACAGUCUGGAGUCUGGCAGUCUGGAAGGCGCGGUGGUGAGACUGGCCGGGAAGCUGCCAGUGGCGGUGAUGGCGGAAAGUGCCUUCAGUUUUAGAAAGUUGCUGGAUGAAUGCGAGAACCAGGAGCUCGAGGCUCCUGGAGGAAUUGCCACGCCCGCCGUGUACGGCCAGCUUCUCGCGUCGUAUCUGCUCCACGGUGACAUGAAUAAUGCAAGAUAUCUUUGGGAAAGAAUACCUCCUGCUAUAAAAUCUGCAAAUUCUGAACUUGGAGGGAUUUGGUCAGUAGGACAGAGAAUCUGGCAGAGAGAUUUCCCUGGGAUCUAUGCAACCAUCAGCGCCCACCAGUGGUCUGAGACGGUGCAGCCAAUCAUGCAAGCGCUCAGAGACGCGACUGGGCGGCCUGCCUUUGCCCUGGUCUCCCGAGCGCACGCCUCCAUCAUCGCUGAUGACUUUGCGGCCUCUGUUGGACUUCCUGUAGAAGAAGCUGUGAAAGGUAUCUUAGAGCAAGGAUGGCAAGCGGACUCCACCACGAGAAUGGUUGUUCCCCGAAGCCAGUUGCAGGCGCCCUGGAUGUUUCCUUUAACAGAAUUAUUCCCCUGUCAGAGCCCGCCCCAGUCCCGCCGAUCCCCAACGGGCAGCAGCUGGCGAGGCUGACCCACUAUGUGGCUUUCCUGGAGAACUGACGUCGCCGGGUUCGGGCCACCCGCAGCGCCCUGUACACGGACAGAUGGCGGCAUGUAAAGCUUUUAUUUUCAAUUUACUGGAUGGAUUAAGCACCUCAGC